rnacentral:rRNA from 1 species
GCGAAAGUUUCCUUACGGGAAACAAGUAGAGUGGCGCACGGGUGAGUAACACGUAGGUAAUCUACCUUCGGAUGGGGAAUAACAAUCGGAAACGGUUGCUAAUACCGCAUAAUGCAGCGGCACCUAAUGGUGGCAGUUGUUAAAGCGGGGGAUCGAAAGACCUCGCGUCUGAAGAGGAGCCUGCGGCGGAUUAGCUAGUUGGUAAGGUAACGGCUUACCAAGGCAACGAUCCGUAACCGGCCUGAGAGGGCGGUCGGUCACACUGACACUGACAUACGGGUCAGACUCCUACGGGAGGCAGCAGUCGGGAAUUUUGGGCAAUGGGCGAAAGCCUGACCCAGCAACGCCGCGUGAAGGAUGAAAUCCCUCGGGAUGUAAACUUCGCAAGAACGGGAAGAAUAAGUUUCAGUUAAUAUCUGAAACGAUGACGGUACCGUUUGUAAGCUCCGGCUAACUCCGUGCCAGCAGCCGCGGUAAUACGGGGGGAGCAAGCGUUGUUCGGAUUUACUGGGCGUAAAGGGCGCGUAGGCGGCCAGCACAAGUCAGUUGUGAAAUCUCCGAGCUUAACUCGGAAAGGUCAACUGAUACUGUGCGGCUAGAGUGCAGAAGGGGCAACUGGAAUUCUUGGUGUAGCGGUGAAAUGCGUAGAUAUCAAGAGGAACACCUGCGGCG